GCUGUAUUGCUCUGGAGGCCGGCUGCAGGACAGGCCCAAUGAGAGGAUGCACACAACAGGGAACACUGCUGUGUGCAUCAAAAACAACAAGGAUACCGAAUAUAAAUCUCUGUUUUUGCAGCUUUUUGCGUUUUCAGUCAAACUGUGAGAAAACUGAAAAGAUCAUAUCACAUCUGCCUAUUCAAGGUCAUAAAGCGCACAAGCACCAGCAUAAUCAAUUGAAUGAUCUUUAAGGCAGAUUUUGUCAUGUUUACAGCAGCAGAGUAUGAGUAUGUUAUGUCUGUCUUCAAGGAUAAAUCAAAUAUUAAGUAUUCAAAGUAGACAUAAAAACAGUGCUGCGUUAAAAAUCUCCUCUAUGGAAACUUUCAGAAAAACAGAGUUUCAGCUGUGUGCUGCUAAUCUGUUCAUCUGAAACCUACCCCACAGCGGCAAUUUCAUGCAUUUAAAUUAACCACUAUGAAUCAUCAGUCUUUAUGCUGAUGGUCUGAUUUGCUUUUGUAGGUCAUAAAGAGACAUCAGGAUUAAUUUCAGUCUGUUUCAUAACCACCUAAAAAAGUCCUCGGAGAAGAUUUAAGUUAAGGAUUCAAGCUGUGCAUGAGGAUGGCGAUAAUGGCACAUAAAUGUGGGAUUUAUGAAGCAAACACUGGACAAAUAAUAAAAAAAAAAGCUUGGCGUGCAGUUUAUUGUGCUGAUAAGCUGUCCAAAAGACUGUGUUUCUCAUAAAUAAAAUCCCAGUACCAUAUUAUUGAUUUGCUAUUUCCUAUUAGCAGGUACCAGACUCUGCUCAAAAUCCCUUGUUUUUUUACACCCUGAUUUAGCCUCCCUGGUCUAACGACAUAUCAGCUGUGGUCAACUCCCAGCACACAGGAAGAGCCUUCGAAUUUCCUCCAUGAAUAGCCAAGGCACACAAUGCAAGUGUCACUGUUAUUUUGCACCCACACAGUCUUUAUUUUUAUGCCUCUCGUCCAUGCCAUGUAAACAGACAAUGGAGUUGCACUCAAGUUGGCAUGCAUGGGUGUGAGGUGUUUUCAGGCACAAAGGUGGAGUGUACAAUCUUGAGGUCUACCCAUGAUACUGCAUUGCUAUGAGUGCCAUUCAGGGCUGUACAGUGUGACCAUCUCACUCACAUCUGUGACUAAAAAAAAGAUAUGUGCGAAUUGUAAAAUGUAUUUAGGGGCACAUGUGCCCAUUAAAAAAAAUCAGCCAAGGCAACAGAUGUUUUUUCAUGUAAAUACCGUUUUAGUUACCGUUUUAAUAAAGUUAGUUUUAGGUUGGAUAUUCGAGGGACAUUGCAGCUCUACCGGUGUUUUCUCACUCUAUAUCUAGGAACAGCAAGAGCAGCGCGUUUAAAUCUACACCACGGUGUAGUGAGUUUCAGGUAGGAUAUUAGAUAUUCGAUCCCCAUAACUGGGGAGGGCAACAGUAGCACGGUUAAAUCUACUCUGCACCCUCGCUGUCAACGUCGGGUGUUGAAUAAGGGACUAUCAAUAAAUUAACAGUUAAUGUUCUCAUAAAAAUCUUUUUUUUUUCAAUAGCUUCCAUGUCACGUGACCAAUUGGCCUAAAAUUGAUUUCAAAUAAUCGUACUAAGGUCGGACGAUAAGACACAUCUCUUUAUUUCCCUAAUUUGUCCUCUAAAAAUGCCUAAAAGGUGAAUUUUGAACACUUUCUUCAAUAGCUUCCAUUUCAUGUGACCAAAAGACCUUAAAUUGAUUUCAAAUGAUAGCACUUAUGUCGACCAGUAAGACACACAUUAUUUGAUCAAUUUUCGUUGUGCCCCUUCAGUUCUUUGUGUGCUCCUUACCUUUCAACUUUCAACUUACCUUUCAACAUGUGCUCCUUGUGAAAAAAGUUAGUGUCAAGGCCUGCCAUUAAUUAUCAUACCUGCAGCUACUGAUUAUUCAUAUAUCUUAUCCAUUAUGCACACGAUAAAUCCUCUUCCACGAACUGGAGUGAGUUUUUAAACCUGAUAGAUUCACAAAAGAAACUGUUCACAAACUAUAACAAGUCAUUGGGAAUGACGCCUAUGAGAGAUCUUUGCAGGAGAAGCUGAGAGUUAAAGAGCUUGGACCUUAUCAGCUAAACAGCAUUUCAGCUGAUAGGGGAAGAAAUUACACUCAAGCGCUGAUUUACUGAGAAAGGCUAAUGGCAUGUAGUGAUGCUAAUGCUUUAUUUAGCUUCUUUCAAACAUCAAGAUCAAACCCAACAAGAAUUCAGACAGGCAUGACCAAUUAAAAGCACUUCUGAGAAAAGGAUGAAAAGGGUCUACAUUGUUCAUUCAGCUUAACAAACAAAUGCUUUUUAUUUGGAUUGAGCGCACUGGUGUAUUAUCUGUCGUUACUCCUUACACUGAAUAUGUAUAUUUUGGAUCACAUCUUGUAUUCAGCACUCCAUAACGUAUAUUUGUUUUAGAUUUUGGGGUUGUAUUUCGAUGCAGUAUAUCCAUGAAAAAUGCGCCUGCACCUGUAUAUUUGUAUUCAGCCAGUCACUGUUAGAGGUGUGAACAGAAGGAGAGGGCACAAAUGUCCCUGCUCCAAAUGUGGAAUUAUUUUUGCAUUGUGUACUUUCUGCACUUUCUGUCUUCUUUGUGUUUGUGUCGACGUGUCUCGGGGUGCUCGCUGUGUCAAAAAAAAAAAAAAAAAAAACGAAAAAAAAAAGUCUUGGCCAAGAAAAAGCCAGUCAGAACUUUAAAAAUAAAUUUAAAUAGCUGCCCUCUGCUGUUAAAAUGCAUUUGCUCUUAUUCCCUUCUUCCCCCACCGUUCUGCUCUCUCUAGUUUAUCAUUUACUGUGCUCUCCCACAAACCCUCACUGGUGCAAGAGUGUGUUUUUAUUACCACACAGUGCAUACACUUCUAAACAUGGACACUAACUGUAUGUACACACAGUGUGAAGCCCUGGGUCAGAGACAACUCGGCUGAGGUUCAGCACUGCAGGCUGCUCUCCUCUCCUCAAUGGGGAUGACUGGAGUGUGUCGGACGGAGAUUUUACCGCCCCCGGUAUUGUUUUCCCUCCAGGAUGAUACUAGAAGAGGGGAACUUUUUUUUUUUCUCGAGUGUGCCCCUUAUGGCCGGUUGAGCUCCCAUCAGUCAUGCUCAGAUGGCUCCAUCUACCUUCGGCAGGCUUGCCACAUGUGUGAUUUUGAAAGAGGGUCGAGCCUGCAGAGAGGCUGAACCCAUAAUGUGUCUAUAAUUCUGACAUGUUGCUUCAAGGAGGCACUUCUUCCAACUCUAGAGAGGAGAAAAAUAAGGUCACCUUGGUGUCGAAAAAUUAUGAAUGGCUUCUCUGAUCUUUGGAAAAAGACAUUCCUGUCAUCUGGAGGUGAGGAAAACAACUUAGAUUCAAAGACCUUAUCAAUCAAUAAUGCCAGAAAACAGCCAUCAGCAGAAACGUUUUAAAAUGAGUCAAAAAACAACCGGCUGCAGUGUCUGCUUCCUCUCAAAUUAGCAGCUCGGCUGCACGACCAUGUUUAAAAAGGGUGUCGCUGAGAGUCUCAGGAGAAAAGGUUGGAGAGGUCCACCGCUCUGUGAGCGACUGCAUGAGCAAAUGUCAAAAUCAUGAUCCUCAGCUUGGUACACAAGAUCAUCAGAAGAUUCAGAGAGUGGAGAAAUUUUGUGUGGGGAAAAAAGACAAGGCCACAAACCAGUACUGAACAGCGGUGAUCAGGUGGGUGACACUGUUUUAAAAACAGACAUGACUCUGUAGUAGAAAUCAGUGCAUCACUGCAUCCACAAAUGCAGGUUGAAACUACACUAUGCAAAGAGGAAACCGUAAGAAAUUAUGAUCUUAAUGCACCAUUGACUUCUUAGGACCUGAAUCCAUUUUGGGAUGAUGGUCGGAUGUAUCAAAAUAGAUAUUCUGUUUGGAGUGUUACCCCUAAUUUCCACCGCAUGCGGAACGGCUGCGAAGAGGCCUUUUCUAUUCAAGUUAAUGUGUUGAGUUUCCACCGGCUUCUUCACAGCCGAUUGCUAGGUUUCUAUUUUUUCCGGACGCCGCAGCAUACCACAUAAAUUCAGCACAGGAAGGAAGGGAAGUCGGGCACAGACACAAAAUAAAACAUCCAGUUUCUUUUAGAAAUAAAACACUACGUUUUUCAGGUGGACUGUAUUUCUCACCAUGCAAACAUGGGUGGGGACGAACAAGUUAAAGGUUUUCAGACAGCAUUUCACCCCGACACCAUGGAUGAGAAGAUGCUGAUUCUAGAAGCCUAGAAGUAGAUUUCCUUCUCUGGAAGGACACAAUCUACUGCUUGUAUGGUUAUGUGGCUGUCUUUAUAUAGACAACUUGUUAUCGCGGGAUUGCAUGUGAAUUCACUGGGUGUUGUGAGUUUUGCAAUUCACGCUGUCCAAAAUCCACCACAAAAUUCGCCUCACAAACACAUCCAGAAGGAACUGGCGAAAACUGAUGCCUUUCCAUGGCGGAGCCAUUCGUAUGCAGCGGAAAUUUGGAGUUAGAGGGUAGACUUGCAUGUUUCAGCAGGAGAGUGCCAAACCUUACUCUAAAUGUAUUGCAACAGCUUGGCUCCAUAGUAGAAGAGUCCACUGACCUGCCUUAAGUCCAGACUAGUCACCCACUGAAAACAUUUGGUGUAUUAUGAAACAUUUCUAUUAACAUUUUGCACAGUGUACCAGGGUUAUGGACGGGAAUGCACUAAUUUGGGUCUGUUCGUAAGCUUCUAUGACGUUAUACAGCAGAGCUAUUUGGACUUCCCUUUUGAAGUUAUCCUUGAAACCUGAAUGAAUCUCAUUGCUCACAAAAAUAAAACUUUGCAGGUAAAUGUUAAAAACAAUGAAGGAGCAGUGCUGAAUUAAAAUGUUAAUUUUCUCUCACACAAAAAAGAAAUAAAUAAAAUGAAAUGACAGUGUAAUACAGAUUUUGAAGGUCUUGAAUGACCUUUUGUAAAUUAAAACAUUUGAAACUCAAACAAGGUCAUAUCAUUAAAAGCAUAUUUUAAGUUGAGGAAUUCACUAAAGUCAGCCAAACUCACUAAAGUUGUGGAGUGGAUUUUUAUCCGUUGAAAUCUUGGUUUGGGGAAAGCUGUGUGCUCAAAGUGCGUAGAGAAGAGGAGGCUGCGACCCUGGGCUUUGUCUGAACCCACACAGCAUGGAUUUAAAAUAAUAAUGUGUCACUAUAUCAACCGCUGGUGACUGUGCAGACUCUCAAUAGCACAAAAACCUCCCCUUUGUUCCCCUGCAGCUUUAAGUCCUUCGGAUCAGAUAUGUGCAUGAGUUCUUUGUAAAGAUGAGAUUUAUCCUCAUCCAGCAAGUUCAUUGUACAUACCCACGGUGUGGAAAUACCAGAUUAAUACAAGCAGUUAAUGAGUUUCUUAUGUGGCAAGUAUUAAAGCACUUCUUAUUUCCCAAUUGUGGAUUAGAGUUGCAUUUUGAAUUCCACAUAAUUGAAAAACUCUAUUAUCAAUUCCCUUCCAUGUGUUAUUAUCGAUGGUGACUCAUGGAAACCUGAAGUUACAUAUACAGCCAGUGCUACACUUGAAUCAGAUGCACAAAAAGAAGGAUUAUACAAGCAUAUAUCAGGGGAAAAAUACUCUCAGUGCUGACAUAGAAGGAAGGAUAUCUUAUCUUUCUGAGUGAUGUAUAUCUGCAAUUUGUGGCAAGCAGAAGAGUUUCCUGUUACGUGUCCUGUGUGAAAGAAAGUCUAGUCCUUUUGCAGUUAUCAAAACAUUCUCCACAAUCAACCACAUUAUGUAAAAAUUCUUGUUCGUUGUGAGUGCCAAAAACCUUGAACAUUUUAAUAAAUUCUUCGGGAGAGUAACUUUCCUCAAAUGCAGGAAACUAAAUACCAGCAUUUUAAUUUCUCAAACCUACAAGUAUUUCAGAUAUUUCAACUUUUGGGACAAUUUGCUUCAAGCCCCAACAAGAAUACCGCACCAAUGCUAUGUACAUCUAAGCAUGUUCAGGAGUGAUAAUCUUCCUAGCUGUUUAAUUGUAAAUAUAAAUCCAGAGCUGACAAAAUUCAGCACAAUUAGGUAACACUGCUGAAAUUGUGAGUUUAACAGUGUGGAUUUAGUCUGUCCAGAGUACCUAACAGUAGCAGAGCCAGCACCACCAGACUUCAACCCUCCAUUGCUUUAUCAAAUGGCCACAUGUGUAGACUAGACACAACCUUAAACAAAUGAUCACCGUUUUCUAGAUUACUUCAAACUCAUCUGUUUUAAAGAUAUUAAGACCAUUUGCUAAAAGGCUUCCACCUCACCUCUUGAUUUGACAAGUUGACUAAAAGUAAGAUAAAGUUAGCAAAAAAAAAAGGGUUCUAUGGCUGAAAUAACAUCCUUGUUUUAUUGCCUUGUUUUGGUAGUGUUUCAAAAUGUAAAACUACUUUUUCAAUUAUGAUGAAUAUCUUAUUUCUUACUUUAUAAGGCCAAAAAUGUGCUAAAAUUUGAAUUCAUAAAGAAUAAAGCAGAAAACUGACCCCUCCCUCCUUUUAGCACGAGUUGGACCACCCCAGUCUAAGAUAUGUGGUUACACCCCUGUCUCUGGACACAGCAGUUCAAAGUGAUGAUGGGAUAUUGUUUGGUACAGAAGUAGGCCUGAACGAUAUAUCGUUUGACUAUCGUCAUCGCGAUGUACGUGUGUGCGAUAGUCACAUCGCAGAGCCUGCGAUAUUGGAGGUGAAUGAACUCAUUUAAUUUCAAGGGUAACCGACUGAGAUACACUCCAUGUGACUCUGCAUGUGCUGUGCAGCGAUCCACCAAUCGCCUUCGUCCUUAACUCAGUGGCCAAUCAGACUCACUUCUCAGUUGCCAAUCAGACUACCCUGCCAGCUGUCAAUCAAAAUCAGGGAGGAGAAAACCCACCCCUGCACAUGUUCUGCACAUGGAGGGAGACGUGUGUCCGCUGAGAAUUACUUUCGGAACUUUACUGACUGUUAAGCCCAGCAAAUAAGAACUGUAUGGGUUUUAAAUUGUACAUUUCCGUGGACCACUCUACUAUAAGCAGUGCGCGUUUUGCGAGGUGCAUGCAAUUCUCGGAGGACAUGCGUUUCUCGGCACAACACCGCUAACGACAACAACGAUCGCAAAAUGAACAACGAACAAGAGAAAACCACCGAAAAUGAAGAUUUGUUGCCAAAAAGAAAAGGAAAGUCAGUUAUCUGGAAUUAUUUCGGUUAAAAGAAGGAUGAUGUCGACCAAAACACGUCUUCUGUGUUCAUCUGUUGCCACAAUAACGUCCCAGCACAAUAAAAGCUAAAAAUAUCUCUGAGACAGACAGAAGCCGUUCUACUAACAUUCACAAAAAGAGGUAAGAUCAGAGCAGAUUAACUGUCCUCAAGAUUUCAGCAGUGCAGCAUAACAUUAAGUGCUGUUCAGGUCAUCUGGUGAAAAUACUGUAUUUUUAAUAUCACAAUAUAUAUCGCAGGGUUGAAAAAAUCGCAAUAUUAUUUUUUUCCAAUAUCGUGCAGCCUUAUACAGAAGUAAAUAAAUAUUUAAACAGGCCUCAUAGUAAUACCAGUCUGUGUAGAUUAGGUAAUGAGAUAUAAAAUACAUCAUAACUCACAUUGGAUGCCUACUGUAUAUUUAAUGUAAGCUGGGUAAUUCUACAGACUAAUGAGUAUAAGACAUCAGAAAUACCAAGUGUUGUUGCAGCGAACUGCCACUGUAGCUCAGUCAUUUUUAACCAAGGAUGGCCUUAUAAUGUUGGAAAUGAUCUAACAUAAGCUAAGAAACUAUACAUGUUUUUUCCAUUAGGUUUUGUAUAUAACAGCAGCAGCACUAAGGGUUAAAAUGGAAGUGAAAAGAGAGAGAACAUAACCAGAGUCAAAACUAUUUUUUUCUUUUUUUUUUUGUUGUCUUGCACAAACACUGAUUUCGAAACUGACAAGAAGAAAAUCUCUCUCAGCAAAUUUAGCAACAUUUACAGUGCUCCCAGGUAAUUUCCUCCCAGUGGUUACCAAAGUGUGACAUCAAUCUGUAGUAAACAUGCUGCAGGGUGAGGAGAAUCCCACGCAGUUUCCCUUACACUCAUUUGUAAAGGUAAUGGCUGAAAGCCUGAAGUAGCACUUCUAAUGAAGGCCUGGUGGGGGGAAAAAUGGAAGAUGGAAGAGAAGAAGACAUAUUUUUCUGGGGACAAUGGUGGUAGACUGCAAAAAAACGGAGCUGACAGUGUCCUUUUAUGAGAUGCUAAUAUAUUCUGGGUGAGAGUGUGGUGCUCUCCUCAUUAGCGGGCUUCUGGUUUGACAGAGGUGUUGGGGUGGCUGCCAUUCAACCCGGCUAAUUAUCCAAA